rnacentral:rRNA from 1 species
UAUGCCGCUUAACGGUAGAACUGCCAUUGAUACUGCAAGUCUUGAAUAUGGUUGAGGUAGGCGGAAUGUGUUGUGUAGCGGUGAAAUGCAUAGAUAUGACACAGAACGCCAAUUGCGAAGGCAGCUUACUAAGCCAUUAUUGACGCUGAGGCACGAAAGCGUGGGGAGCGAACAGGAUUAGAUACCCUGGCAGUCCACGCCGUAAACGAUGUUCACUCGCUGUCUGCGAUACACAGUAGGCGGCUUAGCGAAAGCAUUAAGUGAACCACCUGGGGAGUACGAUCGCAAGGUUGAAACUCAAAGGAAUUGACGGGGGCCCGCACAAGCGGAGGAACAUGUGGUUUAAUUCGAUGAUACGCGAGGAACCUUACCUGGGCUUAAAUGUAUAUUGCAUUCCCGAGAAAUCGGGAUUCCCUUCGGGGCUAUUUACAAGGUGCUGCAUGGUUGUCGUCAGCUCGUGCCGUGAGGUGUCGGGUUAAGUCCCAUAACGAGCGCAACCCCUAUCGUUAGUUGCCAGCGGAUAAUGCCGGGGACUCUAGCGAGACUGCCACCGUAAGGUGAGAGGAAGGUGGGGAUGACGUCAAAUCAGCACGGCCCUUAUGUCCAGGGCUACACACGUGUUACAAUGGCCGAUACAAAGGGCAGCUACCUGGUGACAGGAUGCUAAUCUCUAAAGUCGGUCCCAGUUCGGAUUGGAGUCUGCAACCCGACUCCAUGAAGUUGGAUUCGCUAGUAAUCGGAUAUCAGCAAUGAUCCGGUGAAUACGUUCCCGGG